AGCGGUGGUGACGGUGGUGCCGGAGGUUGUCCUUGGCAGGUUUGCCUCGGCGCUUCUCCAUGGAGGAGGCGGUGCGAACGGCUUCAGCCCCGAAUGCUCGCAUCUCCCACUGGACGGCGACGAAGGCGGUGGCCGUGCGAGCGCAGGACUGGGCGGCCUGUGUGGGGGUGUGAGCCGCGGUGCCCCAGGCUGCGCCGGCGAGGGGAAGCCGCGCGGCCCGCCGACCGACUAGGGUGAGGUCGCCACUCCUUCCUUUCAGUCAAGCGCGAAGGGGCUGACUUGAUGGCGAGCCAGCCCGUCUUGUGUCGGAGAAGGGUUCUUCGGGCAACUUUCCUUUCCGGGUAUUCUGAGUCGGAAGCGGUUUUCCUGUAAUCCUCAGUGAGGAAACCCACCGUGAAUCGGAUUGCCGUUCAGUCCCACGGAAGCCUGGCUCGUUGGCCAUGUCGGGGACGCAUGUUCAUUAAGUUCAUUAAAAUAGUUUCAUUUGUCUUGGUUUGAAGACUGCUUCAUUCUGCCUCUAGUACCAGCGGUUUCUCUGUUCUGUGAUCAAUGUGAUUCACAGGAACUCCUUAAGUAACAA
rnacentral:sRNA from 1 species